rnacentral:rRNA from 1 species
CUAAUACCGGGUAACACCUUUCUAUCGCAUGGUAGAAAGUUCANAGACCGCUUGCGGUCGCCUGAAGAUGGGCCCGCGGCCUAUUAGCUAGUUGGUGAGAUAACAGCCCACCAAGGCUGCGAUGGGUAGCCGUCCUGAGAGGGUGAACGGCCACACUGGGACUGAGAUACGGCCCAGACUCCUACGGGAGGCAGCAGUAGGGAAUAUUGCGCAAUGCCCGAAAGGGUGACGCAGCGACGCCGCGUGGGUGAUGAAGCUUCUUGGAGCGUAAAGCCCUUUCAGAAGGGAAGAACCGCAUGGAGGUGAACCUCCGUGCCUGACGGUACCUUCAGAAGAAGCUCCGGCUAACUCCGUGCCAGCAGCCGCGGUAAUACGGAGGGAGCAAGCGUUGUUCGGAAUCACUGGGCGUAAAGGGCGCGUAGGCGGGCCGGUGAGUCAGGUGUGAAAACCCGGGGCUUAACCCCGGGCCUGCACUUGAUACUAUCGGUCUUGAGUACGAGAGAGGAAAGCGGAGUUCCAGGUGUAGCGGUGAAAUGCGUAGAUAUCUGGGAGAACACCGGUGGCGAAGGCGGCUUUCUGGCUCGAUACUGACGCUGAUGCGCGAAGGCUAGGGGAGCAAACAGGAUUAGAUACCCUGGUAGUCCUAUCGGUUUACGAUGGGCACUAGGUGUUGGAGGACUUACCCCUUCAGUGCCGCAGCUUACGCAUUAAGUGCCCCGCCUGGGGAGUUCGAUUCGCAAGAUUGAAACUCAAAGGAAUUGACGGGGCCCCGCACAAGCAGUGGAGUAUGUGGUUUAAUUCGAUGCAACGCGAAGAACCUUACCUGGGCGUGACAUCAACUGGAAAGCCAUAGAGAUAUGGCCCCCUCUUCGGAGGUCGGUUGACAGGUGCUGCAUGGCUGUCGUCAGCUCGUGCCGUGAGGUGUUGGGUUAAGUCCCGCAACGAGCGCA